CCUAGUACGAGAGGACCGGAGUGGACGCAUCACUGGUGUUCGGGUUGUCAUGCCAAUGGCACUGCCCGGUAGCUAAAUGCGGAAGAGAUAAGUGCUGAAAGCAUCUAAGCACGAAACUUGCCCCGAGAUGAGUUCUCCCUGAGACUAUAAGUCUCCUGAAGGAACGUUAAAGACGAUGACGUUGAUAGGCCGGGUGUGUAAGCGCAGCGAUGCGUUGAGCUAACCGGUACUAAUGAACCGUGAGGCUUAACCUUACAACGCCGAAG
rnacentral:rRNA from 1 species